rnacentral:tRNA from 2 species
GCCCCAGUAGCUCAGCCCGGUAGAGCGACGGUUUCGUAAACCGCUGGUCAGGGGUUCAAACCCCCUCUGGGGCUCCA